rnacentral:rRNA from 1 species
AUGGAUGAGAAAUGGUUCAAUCUAACACAGGAGGAGAAUGGCUACUUGCUGCUUCCCGAAGAACCUGAUCCCUUACGCACCUUGCAUCAUAAGGAUAGCAUCGCGAAGGUGAUGUUUCUUGCGGCCGUGGCUAAACCAAGAUAUGGCAAUGAUGGUGUCGUCACAUUUGAUGGAAAGAUAGGAAUUUGGGCCUUUGUCACAGAGUCUCCGGCUCAAAGAAGGAGUGAAAAUAGAGAAAGAGGGACACUUGAACUCAAAUCUUUGAAAGUUACAAGAGAUGUAAUG